CCUACGGGAUGCAGCAGUGAGGAAUAUUGGUCAAUGGACGCAAGUCUGAACCAGCCAUGCCGCGUGCAGGAAGACGGCUCUAUGAGUUGUAAACUGCUUUUGUACGAGGGUAAACGCAGAUACGCGUAUCUGUCUGCAAGUAUCGUACGAAUAAGGAUCGGCUAACUCCGUGCCAGCAGCCGCGGUAAUACGGAGGAUUCAAGCGUUAUCCGGAUUUAUUGGGUUUAAAGGGUGCGUAGGCGGUCGGAUAAGUUAGAGGUGAAAUCCCGAGGCUCAACUUCGGAAUUGCUUCUGAUACUGUUCGGCUAGAGAGUAGGUGCGGUAGGCGGAAUGUAUGGUGUAGCGGUGAAAUGCUUAGAGAUCAUACAGAACACCGAUUGCGAAGGCAGCUUACCAAGCUACGUCUGACGUUGAGGCACGAAAGCGUGGGGAGCAAACAGGAUUAGAUACCCCUGUAGUC
rnacentral:rRNA from 1 species